rnacentral:lncRNA from 1 species
AUGAUUGCACCCGGCAAUGAAAGAAAAGGGAGAAACGGCACGUGUCUGGCCUCACUUAGAGGUUUGGCGGUGAUUUUACCCACUGCUUCAUAUGGUUCUGCUGAACACAGCUGGUCAAGUGACCUACAACUGAGGAGAUACAGGGCCUCAGAUGACAAAAUGAAGCCAAAUUCCCAGCCUUUCCUAGGAGAGCACAGCAGUUUUUCUCUGCUGAACAGAUCCUCUGAGCACACUGGAUGGGAGGCGGAGGAUGCGUGCUCAGGGCAGGAGCCCUGGGAUGCUGAAGUCAGCAGGGUCCAGGCCCUCUGUCCCUCCAGCUCCCUCAGCCCCUCACUCAGGAUGUGCAUUGGACCUUUCUCUACAUUGGUGCUGUUUCUUGCCAGGUCUGUUUUUACUCCUGCCUCUGGUGGAGCUUAGGGAGGACCACUUGGGGGCCAUGUCUCCAACUUCAGCUCCCUGAGCCUCCCACCCACCCAGUUCUCCCACCUGGAGGGCACUGCAAGGCCCGCAUUAAUUAGGGUUCUCCAGAGAAACAGCCACACGUAUCUGAAACACUCUACACUGACAGGAUGGGUGUAAAUAGAGAGAGGGAUAUAUUUUAAGAAAUUGGACUGGGUGCAGUGGCUCAUGCUUAUAAUUCCAGCACUUCAAGAGGCUGAGGCAGGUGGAUUGCUUGAGCCCAGGAAUUUGAGACCAGCCUGGGAAACAUGACAAAACCCUGUCUGUACGAAAAAAAUACAAAAAUUUGCUGGGUGUGGUGGUACAUGUCUGUAGUCCCAGCUACUCGGGAGCCUGAGGAGGGAGGAUUGCUCGAACCUUGAGGUGGAGGCUGCAGUAAGCUGUGAUUGUGCCACUGCACUCCAGCUGAGAUUGUGCCACUGCAUUCCAGCUUGGGUGACAGAGCAAGACCCUUUUCCAGAACCCCAUCCCCACACACUCAAAAAGAAAUUGGCUCAUGUGAUUGUGGGGGUUGGGAAGUCCAAAUUUCGUGGGGCAGGAGACCCAGGCAAGAGUUGAUGUAGCUCAGGUGCAGGGGCAGUCUGGAGGCAGCAGUUCCUCUUCUUCAGGAGGCCUCCAUUGUUUAACUCCUUUAACAGAUUGAAUGAGGCCCAACCCCAUUAGGGAGGGGCAUCUGCUUUACUCAAGUCUACUGAUUAACUAUAAAUCGCAUCUAAAAAUGCCUUCAUAGCAACAUCAAGACUGGUGUUUGACUAAAUAUCCGGUGGCCUGGCCACAUUGACGCAGAAAAUGCUCCAUCCCAAGGCCUUCCUCAGCAUGAGAGGAGGCAGCCACCAGAGUUGAUCUCCGUCGCACAGGUCUACUGAAGCAGCUGGAACACGGGUGACGAACACCACGGCAGAACUUCUCUGACUCAAAGGCAUUCUGAGCUGGGAACAAACCUGGUGCCUAAGUCAGGUGGAAUUGUCAGUCACCUGAAGAAGCAGUGGAGGCAGGAAGAAGUCGAGGCGUUUAUUCACUGCUAACUAACAUGCUUCUGUGUUGGGCUCUGCAAAGGUCUGUUCGGUGAACUUCACUCAGGGCUCCUGAAAGCUGCCCCAAGCCUGAACGCAAGCACAUGAGGAGACACAGGAACAUCUGGUGAAGAAGCGCGUGACACCAGAAAGAUGAUUGUUUACUCUUUGCCAUUUGGGAGUGAGUUUGAGGGCAGGACUGUGGCACAGUGUGGUGGAUUAAGGAUUCUUUGCCACUUCUAUCACUGAGAGGUACAAGCGGCUUCCCCUCCCCUUGAAUCUGCACUGGCCUCGUGACUCGCUUGGCUAAUAGAAUGCAGAAUCUCUGUGCCAGUUCUUGGGAAAGCCUGGAAGCUUCAUGUUCGUGCUCUUGGAACCCAGCCGCCAUGGGGUGAGGAAGCCCAAACUGUUCUCCUGGAGACAGCAGCAACACGGGGAACCCUGGAGGAUGAGACACUACACGGGGACAGAGAGACCUGGGGUGGGGAGCGAACCCAUGAUCUCCAGCGUACAGCCAGCACCCAGCCCUCAGAUGUACAAGACACCUUCAUGGUCCUUUUGGCCAGCCCAGCCCCAAGACAGACACACUGGUGUGAGCAAUCCAUGGGGACACCCAUGAAGAGCCACCCACGCAGGUCACAGGACCAUGGGAAAUCACUGAAGUGUUACUUUGAGUCACGAUGUUUCACGGUGAUUUGUUAUUCAGCAAUAGGUCAUUGAAACACAUAGAGUGGCAAGAUGAAAGCAAUUUAUCCAGGAAAACAUUCUGCUCUCAGGAGACAAAGGAGAAUCAAUAUUUGAUACAAAGAAGUGACCCAUUCAUGACUUACUUUGAUGGGAACUGUUCAAAGAACAUGAAAGAGUCUAAUGAUUGGAGAAACAGAACAAUUUGGUGGCACAAAAGUUUCUGGGUGCUGGACAGAAUCCCAUCUUUGUCAUAGCUAGCUGCAGACUUUGGGCCAUAACUUUUCUGACUUGGGGCUUAGAAGGCACCGCUGGAGUUGUGGCUCUCAGAGCUCUGAUGGAGGACAGUUUGCCGUGUGGGGGGGCAUGCAGGAGGAAUGGCGUUGGUGGAAACCUGGAGGAAUGGCAUUGGUAGUAACCUGGAAGAACAUCUGAAAUGAGAGCACAGCCCCUCAAUCUUCGUGAGCCUCCGAGUAGUGGCAGCAGCAAGUUUUGAUGAACUAGGAAAGGAUGAAAACAAAGGUGUUCUGAUCGAGCUUCAUGCUCCUAGUGUGAUGAAUUAAGCAACUUGGAGCCCAGGUAUAAAGAACUCAGGGCAAGGCGUGGUGGCUCACACCCGUAAUCCCAGCACUUUGGGCGGCCGAGGUGGAUCACCUAAGGUCAGGAGUUUGAGACCAGCCUGGCCAACAUGGCAAAACCCCGUCUCUACUAAAAUUACAAAAAUUAGCUGGGUGUGGUGGCGCAUGCCUGUAAUCCCAGCUACUCCGGAGGCUGAGUUAGGAGAAUUGCUUGAACCUGGGGGACGGAGGUUGCAGUGAUCUGUAGAGAUCGCACCACUGCACUCCGGCCUGGGAGAGAGAGCGAGAUUCCAUCUCAAAAAACAAAACAAAACAAAACAAAAAACUCAGGAGGAAAGUAAACCCACCUCUGGUUAUUGGCAGAGACACAUGAAACCACAGCCAGCGAUGUGCCCUCCACACGGGCAGCCUGGGCUUCCUGAUUUGCUACUUUCUUCCCAUCGGUAAGAGGUUAAACUCAGAGCGGUGAAGGCAGAUGGGAAACAGGUGAAGUUAUUAGCUGCCUACAGUGAGAAGCUACACCUGCUCUGCAAUCAAAAACAAAACAAUGCCCAGAGGCCGGGCGCGGUGGCUCAAGCCUGUAAUCCCAGCACUUUGGGAGGCCGAGGCGGGCGGAUCACAAGGUCAGGAGAUCGAGACCACAGUGAAACCCCGUCUCUACUAAAAAUACAAAAAAUUAGCCGGGCGCGGUGGCGGGCGCCUGUAGUCCCAGCUACUCAGGAGGCUGAGGCAGGAGAAUGGCGGGAACCCGGGAGGCGGAGCUUGCAGUGAGCCGAGAUCGCGCCACUGCACUCCAGCCUGGGCAACAGCGUGAGACUCCGUCUCAAAAAAAAAAAAAAAAAAAAAAAAAAAAAACAAUGCCCAGAAAGCUCACGAAUGCCGUAACCAAAGGAAGCACUUUGUAACAGGCCCCUCCAGCCAGGACAGGAAAACCAAUGGAUGCUGGGACUAGCACAGGGGAGAGGUGCUCUUCCUUCUGGAUCCAGAGGAUAACAUGAAUGAGAUCUGAAUCCUGCUGAGUUUCUUAGCUGCCCUCUCCAUGGGGACAUGAAGACCAGUUGAUGUUGAUGGUAUGGGGAAAAGUUGUUUGUGUUGAAGCAAAUGUUGUGGGGUUGGGGAGAUUACAUUUGGAAC